rnacentral:rRNA from 1 species
GAACAAACGCUGGCGGCGUGUCUUAAGCAUGCAAGUUGAGCGGCAAGGAGGAGAGAUCCUCCCUAGAGCGGCGGACUGGUGAGUAACGCGUGGGUAAUCUAUCUUAGGCAUGGGGAUAGUCACUAGAAAUAGUGGGUAAUACCGAAUAAGUUCCAUAAGGGGAGGACUUAUGGAAGAAAGGUGCUACGGCACUGGCCUUAGGUGAGCUCGCGUCCCAUUAGCUAGUUGGUGAGGUAAAGGCCCACCAAGGCGAUGAUGGGUAGCCGGCCUGAGAGGGUGUACGGCCACACUGGGACUGAGAUACGGCCCAGACUCCUACGGGAGGCAGCAGCUAAGAAUAUUCCGCAAUGGACGGAAGUCUGACGGAGCGACGCCGCGUGGAUGAAGAAGGCCGAAAGGUUGUAAAGUUCUUUUGCUAGGGGAGAAUAAGUGUGGGAGGGAAUGCCUGCACGAUGACAAGGGCUAGCGAAUAAGUCCCGGCCAACUACGUGCCAGCAGCCGCGGUAACACGUAGGGGGCGAGCGUUGUUCGGAAUUACUGGGCGUAAAGGGCAUGUAGGCGGCUUGGUAAGCCUGGCGUGAAAGUCUGCAGCUUAACUGUAGGGAUGCGUUGGGAACUGCUUAGCUUGAGUUACGGAGAGGGAGCUGGAAUUCCUGGUGUAGGGGUGAAAUCUGUAGAUAUCAGGAAGAACACCGAUGGCGAAGGCAAGCUUCUGGCCGACAACUGACGCUGAGGUGCGAAAGUGUGGGGAUCAAACAGGAUUAGAUACCCUGGUAGUCCACACAGUAAACGAUGUGCACGAGGUGCUGGGGCGGUAGUUUCAGUGCCGGAGCGAACGCGGUAAGUGCACCGCCUGGGGAGUAUGCUCGCAAGGGUGAAACUCAAAGGAAUUGACGGGGGCCCGCACAAGCAGUGGAGCGUGUGGUUUAAUUCGAGGCAACGCGAAGAACCUUACCAGGGUUUGACAUCAUACUGCCCUCUGUAGAAAUACAGACUUCCGCUUCGGCGGACAGUAUGACAGGUGUUGCAUGGUUGUCGUCAGCUCGUGUCGUGAGAUGUUGGGUUAAGUCCCGCAACGAGCGCAACCCCUAUCCAAUGUUGCCAACAGGUAAAGCUGGGGACUCAUUGGAGACUGCCGGAGACGAUCUGGAGGAAGGUGGGGAUGAGGUCAAAUCAUCAUGGCCCUUAAGCCCUGGGCUACACACGCGCUACAAUGGUCGGUACAACGGGCAGCGAAGGAGCGAUCUGGAGCGAAUCCCAAAAAGCCGGCCCCAGUUGGAAUCGCAGGCUGAAACUCGCCUGCGUGAACACGGAAUUGCUAGUAAUCGCGAAUCAGCUACGUCGCGGUGAAUACGUUCCCGGGCCU